rnacentral:misc_RNA from 1 species
AAGUCGUAACAAGGUUUCCGUAGGUGAACCUGCGGAAGGAUCAUUAGAGAAAUUAUUGAGAGUUGAGCUGGCUUUUCACAAAGCAUGUGCUUGCUUUCUAAUUACUUUAUCCAUACACCUGUGCACCUUUGGGGUAGAGUGGAACUUGUUUCUGCCCUCCUCGUUUAUCACAAACUCUUAACCAAACAUUGAACGUGAAUUAGUGCCUUACGGCCUUAAUCAUUAUACAA